GAUGAAGAAGGUAGCGAAAUGCGAUAAGUGAUGUGAAUUGCAGAAUUCAGUGAAUCAUCGAAUCUUUGAACGCACAUUGCGCCCGCCAGUAUUCUGGCGGGCAUGCCUGUUCGAGCGUCAUUUCAACCAUCAAGCCCCCGGCUUGUGUUGGGGACCUGCGGCUGCCGCAGGCCCUGAAAAGCAGUGGCGGGCUCGCUGUCACACCGAGCGUAGUAGCAUACAUCUCGCUCUGGGCGUGCUGCGGGUUCCGGCCGUUAAACCACCUUCAUAACCCAAGGUUGACCUCGGAUCAGGUAGGAAGACCCGCUGAACUUAAGCAUAUCAAUAAGCGGAGGA
rnacentral:misc_RNA from 1 species